GAUGAACGCUGGCGGCGUGCUUAACACAUGCAAGUCGAACGGGAUCCCAGGAGCUUGCUCCUGGGUGAGAGUGGCGAACGGGUGAGUAAUGCGUGACCGACCUGCCCCAUACACCGGAAUAGCUCCUGGAAACGGGUGGUAAUGCCGGAUGCUCCAGUUGGAUGCAUGUCCUUCUGGGAAAGAUUCAUCGGUAUGGGAUGGGGUCGCGUCCUAUCAGCUUGAUGGCGGGGUAACGGCCCACCAUGGCUUCGACGGGUAGCCGGCCUGAGAGGGCGACCGGCCACAUUGGGACUGAGAUACGGCCCAGACUCCUACGGGAGGCAGCAGUGGGGAAUAUUGCACAAUGGGCGCAAGCCUGAUGCAGCGACGCCGCGUGCGGGAUGACGGCCUUCGGGUUGUAAACCGCUUUUGACUGGGAGCAAGCCCUUCGGGGUGAGUGUACCUUUCGAAUAAG
rnacentral:rRNA from 1 species